CAAAAUCUGUGGGAAGUAGUCGUCUUAGCCAUGAACUUUUGAAAGUCAUGUUGUUAACUGAUGUACAACAUGACUGUUGGUUUACUCAGACUCCUGUCUGCUUUCUCUUGCAGAUGUGGUUGUCGUAUCAUUGUUUACACGGACCAUCUGAUUCAAACGACUUGUGUUUAUCUUCAACAGUUAGUUGUUACAGAAAUUGUGAUAAUACCUAUAGAAGGAACUGACCUCAUGUCAAACUGAUAAAUGGCCGGGGGAAAAAAUAAUAGAAAAAAUGCGUGAAGCUUGGAAGAAAGAAGAGACAAGAAACAAAAUGAAUGAAGCACAAAUCAUCAGCAUUUGGGCAAGUCUGCAGGAGGAGGAAGAAGUUUCUGAUCAGGCUUAUCUCCAUCAAGCACAAGCCAAGCCAUCCUCAGACCCCAACUGGAAUCUAAUAGCAGCCCAUCCACCAGAUGGAACACCGACCGUGUUCCUCUCUAUUGGGUCAACAAGGUUGAAGUUCUUAGGAUCCUCCUUCGCGUCGAAGUUCCCAAACCCUUGGCCAACGACAAAGAAGUUGAACCCAUGAAGGUGAAGAGGAUGGCUCUCCGCACCGAGAAUGCUAGUAUCUUGCAUCACAAGCUCGACACUUGUGUUAUAAGGCAGAACCAUCACGUUUGUCCCAGUGCUAACCAUGGUGUUGUUAGGUGGGGUGCCUGUGUAGUUAAAAGGCACUAUGGGACUCCACGGGAAGUUCGGAGAAUACACUCCGUUAGAUUGCCCAGAAUAGUGAGACUGAAGGAGAGCUUUCGUUGGCAUUGUGAAGGAGAUGUUGCUGAUCGAAGCAGCAAACAUUGUGGUGUUAGUAGGACCCUGGCACGUCUGGUUGUUCUUAUGGUUGCAAGGGUUUGUUCCUAAUCCCAC